CAGAUUCGUAACUUUCCUGGUAACUUCUGGAGAACAUGAGGAAAUUUAUUCUGCUGUCGGCGGUGGUGGUGAUGGUGGCAGCGAUGCCCGGUGUAAAGGCUUCACCAGAUCCAAACUACGCCCCAUACUGCAAUGUUGUGAAAAAGCAGACGCGCGUGUGUUGCUCUGACAACAACAUCUACAACAACUUGUGCGCACUGAACCACCAGAAAUGCAACGAUGCAACACUCACUCAACUUGGCGAAGCGGCCUGCAAGAAACUGCUGAGAGAGAAAAGAUGAAGGCAGACCUGUGUGCAAACCAAACCGUCUAUCUUGUGUGGCGCUGACGGCAUGCUGUACAGCGACUGCGAGCUGGAAGCCGAGCGCUGCAACAAGCCUGACUUCCAGGCUGACGACAACAUGAAGGCAUGCCCAGGUCAUCAUCCAGCCUGGAGCAUACUGGGAUGGUCAUAAAUGGAAAAGUUCUGGAAACAAACGAUGGGCCAGUAAUAAAACUAGAAAAUUAGGAACAUGAACACCAAGAUGAACUGCAAACUACUGAACAACUAGCUGGGUAAGUGCUACUACUACUACUACUACUACUACUACUGUGUGUGUGUGUGUGUGUGUGUGUGUGUGUGUGUGUGUGUGUGUGUGUGUGUGUUAGGGUGGAAUACAUAACAUGCAAGCAACAGUACCUCAUAUCCCCACCACACCACCACGCAACACCUGCCUGACACACUCACUCACACUUUUCCUUCUCGCCUACCCAGGUUUGCGAGGCCAACCAGUGCCACAGGAUCUACAGCAGUACCACAACUCUCGCCACGACGGCAGUUAACUUCUUAACUCUUCUUUGUUCCU